GGCGAACGCUAGCGGCGCGCCUAACACAUGCAAGUCGUGCGGGAAAGGGCUUCGGCCCCAGUACCGCGGCAGACGGGUGAGUAACACGUGAGUAACCUGUCCUCGGGUCUGGGAUAACCACCCGAAAGGGUGGCUAAUACCGGAUAAAGUCACCGGGCGCAAGCUCGGUGAUGAAAGGGGGCCUCUGCAUAGCAAGCUCCUGCCUGAGGAGGGGCUCGCGGCCCAUCAGCUAGUUGGUGGGGUAACGGCCCACCAAGGCUAUGACGGGUAGCCGGCCUGAGAGGGUGGUCGGCCACACGGGCACUGAGACACGGGCCCGACUCCUACGGGAGGCAGCAGUGGGGAAUCUUGGGCAAUGGGCGAAAGCCUGACCCAGCGACGCCGCGUGGGGGAAGAAGGCCUUCGGGUCGUAAACCCCUGUUCUGGGGGAAGAACCCUGGCUGGGUUAAGAGCCCAGUCAGGCUGACGGUACCCCAGGAGAAAGCCACGGCUAACUGCGUGCCAGCAGCCGCGGUAAUACGCAGGUGGCGAGCGUUGCCCGGAAUUACUGGGCGUAAAGGGUGCGUAGGCGGCCGGACAAGUCGUAGGUUAAAGCCCGGGGCUCAACCCCGGAAAGGCCUACGAUACUGUCUGGCUUGAGGGCUGGAGAGGCUGGCGGAAUUCCCGGUGUAGGGGUGAAAUCCGUAGAUAUCGGGAGGAACACCGGAGGGGAAGCCGGCCAGCUGGACAGCUCCUGACGCUGAGGCACGAAAGCGUGGGGAGCAAACCGGAUUAGAUACCCGGGUAGUCCACGCCGUAAACGAUGGGUGCUAGGUCUGGGGAGGUAAUCUCUCUGGGCCGAAGCUAACGCGUUAAGCACCCCGCCUGGGGAGUACGGCCGCAAGGCUGAAACUCAAAGGGAUUUGACGGGGGCCCGCACAAGCGGUGGAGCACGUGGUUUAAUUCGAUGCAAAGCGAAGAACCUUACCCGGGCUUGACAUGCCAGGGUUGUACCCCGGUGGAAACACUGGGGAGCGUGGGGUUUUCUCACGCGCUCUGGCACAGUGCUGCAUGGCUGUC
rnacentral:rRNA from 1 species